AGAGUUUGAUCAUGGCUCAGAACGACGCUGGCGGCAGGCUUAACACAUGCAAGUCGAGCGCCCCGCAAGGGGAGCGGCAGACGGGUGAGUAACGCGUGGGAACAUACCCUUUGGUUCGGAAUAACUCAGGGAAACUUGAGCUAAUACCGGAUACGUCCGUAAGGAGAAAGAUUUAUCGCCAAAGGAUUGGCCCGCGUCCGAUUAGCUAGUUGGUGAGGUAACGGCUCACCAAGGCUACGAUCGGUAGCUGGUCUGAGAGGAUGAUCAGCCACAUUGGGACUGAGACACGGCCCAAACUCCUACGGGAGGCAGCAGUGGGGAAUAUUGGACAAUGGGCGCAAGCCUGAUCCAGCCAUGCCGCGUGAGUGAUGAAGGCCUUAGGGUUGUAAAGCUCUUUUGUCCGGGAAGAUAAUGACUGUACCGGAAGAAUAAGCCCCGGCUAACUUCGUG
rnacentral:rRNA from 1 species